UUUGUAGAACUUGAAAAAAAGGAACCAUGACUGAAUUUGCGUUGUUCAACCUUGGUGAGAAGGCAAAACAUAUUUCUUAAGUUCUGCAGAGCAACAGAGACAGAGAACAUCUAGUAUGGCUUUUAUUUCAGAGUAGCAGCUCCUGGUAUAGUUCUGAAGAUCAUAUGGCAUUGUGUGAGGAGAGACAGCAGAUUCUGUAUUACAAAUGUGGCCAGCCCAGUAUUCUGUGACCAAGUUCAGCUGUUGGGGGACAAUUCAAAGAAUCACAGUAAAAUUCAGCUCUGGAGCUGAUAAAAAAUUUCAUAUGAUUUCCCAAGAUGUGGAAGCCAUAGGAAGAAAUGGUAGAUGCCCUAAGUAUGCCACACUACAUGAUAGAUUUUAGAACUCUGUUUACAGUAAGCAGAACUUUUCUUGUCAGAGAGAAAAAACAGCUACAGGAGCCAAUUAAAGGAAAAAAUUAAAGGAUGCUUUCUUAAAAUAUACUUCACAAAGUGCACCAAACAUGAUUUUCAAAAAGACAUGAAGAGUUGUUACUUGAAAUGCCAAAUAAACCA